UUAGAAUUUGCAAAAGGAGAAUUUGGCCUAAUACCCUUGUUUGAAACGUGUUAAUGAAAUUUAUCCACCUUGAUUGAAUUUUUUUUGUUUUACCCUUUCAUUUUCAUCUAUUCCCAAAUUACCAUUUUCAAAUAUCAAAAAGGAAAAAUCAAGCCCUAAAUGGAGCAUGACGAAGAAGGAGAAGAAGAGAAAGUGAGAAAGAAUGGCAAAAGGGCUUGGGAUGACCAAAGAGUUCUUUAGGAGGAGGGACGGAAGUCAAUAAUCAUGGUUUAGAUGGUUUCUUCCUUGUUGAAUCUAAGAUGAAAGUGUAGGGAUUAAAGCGUGGAACUGAAAGGCUAUCUAGGAAUUUGCAGGUGAUGUAUGCUUUGUCGUUGGACAAGUCAAAUCUGGCUGUUUCAAAAUAUCAGGCUGAGUACAUGGAUGCUAAAGGCUUAGCAGAACCAAACCAUCAAACUCCAGAGGGUUGUCAACGUCUCUCUUGAGUACCCUUUCAAGGAUCUUGGGAUUGCUGAAAACAUUAUAUUACAAGGCUUGAGCAAUAAUUCUUACCUUUGUUUUUUAAGGAUCACAAUGAUAACUAGUGUACCUGCUGGAAGUGGCAAAUUGAACUAUGGAGUGAGUGACUUGAAGGAAAAAUGUUGUAGAAGAUCUUCAUGGAUCACCAGCAUGACUUUUAGCAUAUGCAUACAGAAAGAAAUUUCAUGAUAUGCUAAGGAUCUUAGUACUAAAAACAGUUUACAUGUACUAAAUCUUACCAGCUAGGGGGUCAACUUAAAAAAGCUCACAUAUGAAGAAAGGAAAAACCAGUUAAUUGAAAGAUUGACUAAAUUUGGGCAGUGGCAUAAAUUUUCAAAGAUAAUGCACAUGCCGUAUAGAGAAACCUGGCUUUCCUUGUGUCCAUGCAAUUGCAGCAUGUAAGCAUCAACAUAUUUCUCCAUAUAUCCUUUAUUCAGCGCAUUACUCAGUUGACUCACUCCGUGACGCAUAUUCGGAAACCAUAUAUCCACUUGGAGAUAAAUGUCAGUGGCAUGCUCUAGAUGAUGUCAUAAACCAGCUUGUACUUCCACCUAAGAUUGGAAAACAGUCAGGAAGACCAAGAAAGAAGAGGAUUCAAUCUCAAGGAGAGGAGCAUCAUCAAUAUAGAUGCAGGAGGUGCAAACAGAUUGGUCACCGCAGCCGAUCAUGCUCAGCCGCCAGACCUCUUGAUAGCACUGCCAACCAACAACACCAUUCAACUGAAGGACCAUAAAUUGCUCUACGUUAUAUUAAGACAAUGAGGGCAUGUUAUGUGGUAUGCGUGUGUUAUGCAAUGUAGUAAGGAAUGCAAUUAGUAGCUCAACCGCGUAACGUGUGUUUUGGCAUAAUAGACGUUGGUUUUAU